rnacentral:rRNA from 1 species
CGGUAGGGCGCAAGCGUUAUCCGGAAUUUAGUUGGGCGUAAAGAGCUCGUAGGCGGUUUGUCGCGUCUGCCGUGAAAGUCCGGGGCUCAACUCCGGAUCUGCGGUGGGUACGGGCAGACUAGAGUGAUGUAGGGGAGACUGGAAUUCCUGGUGUAGCGGUGAAAUGCGCAGAUAUCAGGAGGAACACCGAUGGCGAAGGCAGGUCUCUGGGCAUUAACUGACGCUGAGGAGCGAAAGCAUGGGGAGCGAACAGGAUUAGAUACCCUGGUAGUCCAUGCCGUAAACGUUGGCACUAGGUGUGGGGGACAUUCCACGUUUUCCGCGCCGUAGCUAACGCAUUAAGUGCCCCGCCUGGGGAGUACGGCCGCAAGGCUA